rnacentral:lncRNA from 10 species
GCCUCUACAAAGACCCUAUUUCCAAAUAUGAUGACUGAGUUUCGCUCUUGUUGCCCAGACUCCAUCUCAAAAUAAAUAAAUAUUUUAAAAUUUAAAUAAAUAAUUAGCUUGGCAUGGUGGCAUGCAGCUGUAGUUCCAGCCACUCUGGAGGCUGAGAUGGAAAGAUGGCUUGAGCCCAGGAGGCAGAGGUUGCAGUGAACUGAGAUUGCACCACUGCACCCUAGCCUGGGCAACAGAGUGAGACAAAAACCAAAAGGAAAAGAAAAAGGAAAAGUAGAGCACUGCCACAGGCAAUUCCAGCCAAGGAAGGGGGAACACAGAAGGAAGAACACAGCGUUUCCCUUUAACAGCUCUGGCCAGUUGUUGCACACCUCACUACUCCCCACAGGCUAUUGGCUACAACUUAGUCACAUGACCACACCUGGCUUCCACAAAGCUGGAAAUACAGUUCUUAUUCAGGGCAGCCACGAGCACAGAUAAACACUUGUAUGACAUGGAAGCAAGGGAAAUGUACAUUGGGAGGAAACCAGCCCUCUGUGCCACAGCGUCCGAGCCCUCCUCUUCCUCUUGUC